GUGUAGCUCUCAGUUGAGCUCCGGUGAGAGAGAGAGAGAGAGAGAGAGCACACAAACUGAACACACAAACUGAACACAACUCAUUCACAAUUCCCUCAUCUCUACUCCUCAGAGUGAAGAGAAAUGUCCUCCUGCGGCAAAAAACUCAAGGACCUGGAUAACCUGACCAAGGAUGACUCUGAGAGAUUUAAAUCGUCCCUGACGAAUAACUUGGCAGAGGGUUUUGAACCUUUUCCUAGUGGCAGCCUGGAAGAAGCUACAGUGAUCGAUAUUGUGGACCUGUUGGUGGAUGAGUACGAUGAAUCACACAUCACUGAGAUCACUGUACAGAUUCAUAAAGAGAUGCACAACAACCAACCCGCCAAUGACCUGGAACAGGAAUGCGAGGAUCACGUGACAGGAGGUAUCUGAUUGCAGAGGUGGGGCGUAGGUUCAAAGGGGAGCAGACGUCCCGUGAGGUGAUGUGGCGGCCACGGUGUUUCUUUAUUUUUAGUUUAUGCAUUUGACAACACGCAUCCAUUACAUUUUACACACAUGCACACCCUACACAACUGAUAAUACUGAUGUCCAUAUCCUAUUUUGUGAUGUUGUUCUAUUUUUCGUUGUUGUAUGUGAAAUUAAUAAACAUGUUAACCCUUCUAAAA